rnacentral:rRNA from 1 species
GGUGAACAAUCGGGAGGCCGUGCUCAUGGUCAGCAAUGGCCGGAGCGCGGUCGAACUUUUGUAAAUUUGGACGACUAGAGGAAGAAGAAGUCGUAACAAGGUUUCCGUAGGUGAACCUGCGGAAGGAUCAUUAGCGUUAAUUGGUCUUGGUGCCAUGCGAAAAACAUGUGGAUCGUGGGCUAUGUGACCCCUCUGUGGGGGGUAUUUUGUCGCGAACUUGGAGAUUUGGCUGAUGGAUAUAUUAUAUAGAUAAACAAAAUACAACUCUUAGCAAUGGAUAUCUUGGUUCCCACAACGAUGAAGAACGCAGCGAAAUGCGAUACGUAAUGCGAAUUGCAGAAUUCAGUGAAUCAUCGAAUCUUUGAACGCAAGUUGCGCUUUCGAGAGCCCUCGGAAGCAUGCCUCUCUGAGUAUCGGUUUCUAUAUCUCUCACACUGGUGUGCUGGAGAAUGGGAGUUGCUGCACCUCUCUGCAUCUCCUGAAGUCAACGUCGGCCGAAGUCCAUCGGGUUCUUGGAACGAUAAUCCGUCAUGGCGCCCAAACCAUACACACAAGAUCUCAGAUGAGGUAAGACUACCCGCCGAAUUUAAGCAUAUCAAUAAGCGGAGGA